rnacentral:rRNA from 1 species
GAUGAACGCUGGCGGCAUGCCUAACACAUGCAAGUCGAUCGGUAAGGCUCUUCGGAGUACACGAGAGGCGGACGGCUGAGUAACGCGUAGGAACACACCCUGCAGUGAGGGAUAAGACACCGAACGGUUUUCUCAUACCGCAUACGGUCUUCGGAUUAAAGCAUUUAUGCGCUGAAGGAGUGGCCUGCGUCAUAUUAGAUAGUUGGUGAGGUAAUGGCUCACCAAGUCGAUGAUGUGUAGCUGGUCUGAGAGGAUGAUCAGCCAGACUGGAACUGAGACACGGUCCAGACUCCUACGGGAGGCAGCAGUGAGGAAUAUUUCACAAUGAGCGAAAGCUUGAUGGAGCAAUGCCGCGUGCAGGAUGAAGGCCCUCGGGUUGUAAACUGCUUUUAUAAGAGAAGAUUAUGACGGUAACUUAUGAAUAAGAGACGGCUAACUACGUG